CCAAAUAAAGCUGGUAAGUUGAAGUCUGGCAAGGAAGACCGUCCAACUUCAGAAGUUGUAGUUAAACAGUUGUGGCCGCAACGUUUUCUUUCCUUGACUCGUGCUAGUCAGGAGAUUACUUACGAACGUCUUACCAUGGCAGAAUUCGUGGCGGGGUAUGCACAGAUUCUACAAUUACGAGAGAUCAGUUCGUUCGAGCGCGCCGAACGACACAAACAUUUGGUAACGCUGAUGUACCACGCACAGCUAUACGAAUGGGAGGCGGUGCUUGCCUUCCAUGGAGCGGUUUUGCUUGAAAUCGAACGUGGCUUAUUGAAGUGGGGUGAUUCCUUUUCCCACCUCGAAAGCAGAACCCUCCAUGGUCAGCUACUUUCACCGCCGAAAAAGCAGUCUUACAGUUCAGGGCCGACAUUGUUUUGUAGAGAUUAUCAACGCGAGAAGUGCAUUCAUACCAAGGAUCAUUAUGGUUACGUCCGAGGCGAACGUAAAUGGGUAAAACAUAUUUGUGCGGCUUGUUGGGUACAAUCGAGAAAACAGGAAUCGCAUAGAGAGGAUUCAUCUGAUUGUCCGCUUUCAGGGGAAUCAAAAAAACUGAUAAACUUCGCCCUUGGUCAAGACAUUGGGGGCGUUCCUUCCGUUACUGUUGCUUCAUUUCCGGAUAUGUCGUUUUGUGCUUUGAAUGCUGAUGCUUGCUCCCAGCCGCUAAAGGCUGCAGUUACUGACUGUCGUGGCUUUUCCACGGGCGCUGAUUAUAUUCAUGAUGUGUGUUUUCCUCAGCCGGUGGAGGCUGGUGUUCUAGACUGUCGUGGUUUUUCCACGGCCUUUCCUCGUGACUCUCAGCAGGCGAAUGAUUUUUAUUUGUACGCACAUGAGUUAGUUUUUCGUUCUGGUCGCCCGAACUUUGUGGUUUCUCGCCUGCCCGUUCCAAGUUCCCUAAAGAUCAAUACUUGGAGGACUUUGUUGUAUGAUUAUGACGACCAAAUGAUUUGUGAUUUCCUGGAGUUUGGUUGGCCGGUGGGUUUCACGGGCGAUACUGUUCCUAUUUUUGAUGCUCGCACUCACCGGGGUGCGCUCAAUUUUGCGACUCAAGUUUCAGAGCAUUUACAACGUGAAGUCUCGCUUGGUCGUGUCGCUGGGCCGUUCACGGAUCCUCCCUUCGGGGGUGGAUUUGUUACUUCACCGUUGAACACGGUUCCCAAGCGAGAUUCUGAAGAACGUAGGGUAAUUGUGGACUUGAGCUGGCCUAAGGGCGGUUCAGUAAAUGAUGGUAUUCCGUGUGAUAGUUUUCUGGGAGAUCCGUUCGUGACUUGUUAUCCCACUAUAGAUGACAUUGUGGAAGCGAUCGUGCAGUUUGGCCCGGGUUGUUUUCUCUAUAAGAGGGAUCUGCGGCAGGCGUAUAGGCAGUUUCCUGUGGAUCCCGGCGAUUACCGUUUACUUGGGUAUAUUUGGAAUGGACAUUAUUACUUUGACACUGUUUUAACUAUGGGGUUACGCUCUGCUGCUCAGGCAUGUCAGCGCGUCACCUCAGCGGUAGCUUGGAUUCAUCGACAGCAAGGAAAAGUUUUAUUUAAUUAUUUGGAUGAUUUCAUUGGGGUUUCUGAGGCUAGCUCUGCGACUUCCGAUUUUGAGCAGUUGGGGACUCUUCUCUCAGUCCCUCGAUAUAAAUUGUUUGGAACUUCUCACUAUUGUGGUGGCGCUUAAGUUGUGGGGUCAACGGUGGACGGGACUCCGUUUAACCGUGCGCUGUGACAAUCAGAUUCCUCGGCUUUGGCCUCUCUGCAAAAGGAUCUACGACAGACAUUACAAGCUGCUUAUAGCACAGGGACAUAUAGUAAUUUAAAGACUCAAUUUAAGGCCUUUUUUCUAUUUUGCUUAUAUUUUGACUUGACUCCAUUACCAGCAGACAUAGAUACGGUCUGUCUUUAUGUACAGUUUUUAAGUCGUUCGAUUGCACCACCUUCGAUUCGUAAUUAUUUAAGUGGGGUCAAGUUAUUACAUCUUUUCGCCGGUUAUGACUAUGCAUUUACUAAGGAUUUUAGUUUAUCCCCAGCCCUGCGGGGAGUUUCCCGUAGGAUACCACAUGUACCUCAGAGGGCUCCACCGGUAACUCCUAGCCUUUUAUUGCUAGUUGCGCGAACAGUAGAUUUUCAACAUGAUGCUAACUCUUCUA